CAGCCGCCACGGUAAUGCGUAGGGUGCGAGCGUUAUUCGGAAUUACUGGGCUUAAAGCGCGUGUAGGCGGGCCGCCACGUCGGUUGCUGAAAUCCCCCGGCUCAACCGGGGAAGUGGCAUCGAUACGAGCGGCCUUGAGGGGGGUAGGGGGAUCUGGAACUUCCGGUGGAGCGGUGAAAUGCGUUGAGAUCGGAAGGAACGCCCGUGGCGAAAGCGAGGUCCUGGACCCUUUCUGACGCUGAGACGCGAAAGCCAGGGGAGCGAACGGGAUUAGAUACCCCAGUAGUCCCUGUCCUUAUAC
rnacentral:rRNA from 1 species